CGAACGGGUGAGUAGCGCGUGAGGAACCUGCCUCAAAGAGGGGGACAACAGUUGGAAACGACUGCUAAUACCGCAUAAGCCCACGGGUCGGCAUCGAUCUGAGGGAAAAGGAGUGAUCCGCUUUGAGAUGGCCUCGCGUCCGAUUAGCUAGUUGGUGAGGUAACGGCCCACCAAGGCGACGAUCGGUAGCCGGACUGAGAGGUUGAACGGCCACAUUGGGACUGAGACACGGCCCAG
rnacentral:rRNA from 1 species